UACGUAGGGGGCAAACGUUGCUCGGAAUUACUGGGCGUAAAGGGUGAGUAGGCGGCUGCGCAAGUCAAGGAUGAAAUCCCGUGGCUCAACUGCGGAACGGUCCUUGAAACUGCGCGGCUUGAGGAUAGUUGAAGAGAAUGGAAUUCCCGGUGGAGCGGUGAAAUGCGUAGAUAUCGGGAGGAACACCAGAGGCGUAAGCGAUUCUCUAAGCUACUCCUGACGCUGAAUCACGAAAGCUAGGGGAG
rnacentral:rRNA from 1 species